AUUGAACGCUGGCGGAAUGCUUUACACAUGCAAGUCGAGCGGCAGCGCGGGGGCAACCCUGGCGGCGAGCGGCGAACGGGUGAGUAACAUAUCGGAACGUACCCAGUCGUGGGGGAUAACUAUCCGAAAGGAUAGCUAAUACCGCAUACGUCCUGAGGGAGAAAGCGGGGGAUCGCAAGACCUCGCGCGAUUGGAGCGGCCGAUAUCGGAUUAGCUAGUUGGUGGGGUAAAGGCUCACCAAGGCGACGAUCCGUAGCGGGUCUGAGAGGACGACCCGCCACACUGGAACUGAGACACGGUCCAGACUCCUACGGGAGGCAGCAGUGGGGAAUUUUGGACAAUGGGGGCAACCCUGAUCCAGCCAUUCCGCGUGAGUGAAGAAGGCCUGG
rnacentral:rRNA from 1 species